ensembl:rRNA 5S_rRNA 5S ribosomal RNA
GUCUAUGGCCAUACCACCCUGAAUGCUCCCAAUCUCAUCAGAUCCCGGAAGCUAAGCAGGGUCGGGUUAGUACUUGGAUGGGAGAAACUGGAACCCGUCUCUCUCUCCAAAGGAGGCUGUAAAAU